CACGCCCUAAACGAUGCUCACUAGGUGUUGGGGAAGCGAUUCCUUGGUACCGUAGCUAACGCGUGAAGUGAGCCGCCUGGGGAGUACGGCCGCAAGGUUAAAACUCAAAGGAAUUGACGGGGACCCGCACAAGCGGUGGAUGAUGUGGAUUAAUUCGAUGCAACGCGAACAACCUUACCUACCCUUGACAUGUCUGGAAGCCUGCUGAAAGGUGGGUGUGCUCGAAAGAGAACCGGAACACAGGUGC
rnacentral:rRNA from 1 species